rnacentral:rRNA from 1 species
CCUACGGGUGGCAGCAGUGAGGAAUAUUGGUCCAUGGACGAGAGUCUGAACCAGCCAAGUAGCGUGAAGGAUGACUGCCCUAUGGGUUGUAAACUUCUUUUAUAUGGGAAUAACAUGUUCCACGUGUGGGAUUUUGUAUGUACCGUAUGAAUAAGGAUCGGCUAACUCCGUGCCAGCAGCCGCGGUAAUACGGAGGAUCCGAGCGUGAUCCGGAUUUAUUGGGUUUAAAGGGAGUGUAGGUGGAUUGUCAAGCCAGUUGUGAAAGUUUGCGGCUCAACCGGAAAAUUGCAGUUGAAACUGGCAGUCUUGAGUACAGUAGAGGUGGGCGGAAUUCGUGGUGUAGCGGUGAAAUGCUUAGAUAUCACGAAGAACUCCGAUUGCGAAGGCAGCUUACUGGACUGCAACUGACACUGAUGCUCGAAAGUGUGGGUAUCAAACAGGAUUAGAUACCCUAGUAGUC